UGGAUCUUUAGCUCAGCUGGUUAGAGCAAACGGCUCAUAACCGUUCGGUCGUAGGUUCGAUUCCUACAAAGUCCACUUA
rnacentral:tRNA from 2 species